ACAUCUUCCAUCACUCAGUCCCCACAAGGCAACUGCCUCACGCUUGAGAAGCCCAGAGAGACACAUCAGAACCCUGGGCGGUGUCAUUGC